GGGGCUAUGUUUGUGGUUGAGGCGCUCUGCUUGGUAUGCAGAAGGUCCAGGUUCAAUCCCUGGUAUCUCCA
rnacentral:tRNA from 1 species